UCUGAUCUUUGAUCCAGGAAACAUGUCUACAGAUGUCAAUUUUGCACAAUGCUUACCAAAAUUUAAUUUAUGUGGCCAUUUAUGUGUUUAAUCCACAAUCCAUCGAGACCAGCAAGAGAUUCUGAGAACGACGCGCGCGGACUGACAACAAGCGUUACUGAGUUUAAAAUACUGAUAAAUUCUCUUCUUAGUGGACAAGACUGCAAGUGAUGCUGAAGGAUUGAGUGUUUUCUGAUCAGUUUUCAGGGUCAGUUUAGCUGCAGUAUGUCAGAGGAAAGAGGAAAGGACUCUCUCUCUCAGAUGAGUCUCUCA